rnacentral:rRNA from 1 species
AUACGUAGGUGACAAGCGUUAUCCGGAUUUACUGGGUGUAAAGGGCGUGUAGGCGGUUUAGCAAGUCAGAAGUGAAAUUCCCGGGCUUAACUUGGGCGCUGCUUCUGAAACUGCUUUACUUGAGUGCUGGAGAGGAUAGUGGAAUUCCUAGUGUAGCGGUAAAAUGCGCAGAUAUUAGGAGGAACACCGGUGGCGAAGGCGGCUAGCUGGCCAGGAACUGACUCUGAGGCGCGAAAGCCCGGGGAGCAAACAGGAUUAGAUACCCUGGUAGUCCGAGCCGUAAACGAUGAAUACUAGGUGUAGUGCGUAUCGACUCCCUCGGUGCCGUAGUUAACACAUUAAGUAUUCCACCUGGGGAGUACGGUCGCAAGGAUGAAACUCAAAGGAAUUGACGGGG